rnacentral:rRNA from 1 species
CGCCCCUUGAAAAGUAUUAAGGCUUAAAGAUAAGGGGUACUGCCUGCCCAGUGACGUAGAGUUAAACGGCCGCGGUAUCUUGACCGUGCAAAGGUAGCAUAAUCAUUUGCCUUUUAAAUGGAGGCUGGAAUGAAUGGCAAGACGGAAAUUUGACUGUCUCUUUCUUAAUAAUCCUGAAAUUAAUAUUCUAGUGAAGAAGCUAGAAUAAGUUCGUGGGACGAGAAGACCCUGUUGAGCUUUAGUGGUAGAAGUAAACAUAAGAUUUUUAUAAGAUGCUAAUUACUGACAAUGAAAGAUGUCAGAAAUUAAAUUUACUUAUUAUAAAAAAAAUGUUGUAUUGUGAACUGCUUUGGUUGGGGCAACCGCGGAGAAUAAAAAACCUCCGUUUAAGUAAAGUAAUAAAAGUAUUGUUUUUGUUCAGAUACUUUCUGUUAAAGUGAUCCACUAGAAAAGGUGAUCAAAGGAAUAAGUUACCACAGGGAUAACAGCGUAAUUUUUUUGGAGAGUUCAUAUUGAUAAAAAAGUUUGCGACCUCGAUGUUGGAUCGGGAUUUCCAGGAGGUGCAGCAGCUUCCAAGGGUUGGUCUGUUCGACCAUUAAAAUC